rnacentral:rRNA from 1 species
CAGUCGAGCGAACACUUCGGUGGGAAGCGGCGAACGGGUGAGUAACACGUAGGUGAUCUGCCCAUCAGACGGGGACAACGAUUGGAAACGAUCGCUAAUACCGGAUAGGACGAAAGUUUAAAGAUGCUCCUGGCAUCACUGAUGGAUGAGCCUGCGGCGCAUUAGCUAGUUGGUGGGGUAAAGGCCUACCAAGCCUACGAUCUAUAGCUGGUCUGAGAGGACGAUCAGCCACAUUGGAACUGAGACACGGUCCAAACUCCUACGGGAGGCAGCAGUGAGGAAUAUUGGGCAAUGGAGGCAACUCUGACCCAGCCAUGCCGCGUGAGUGAAGAAGGUUUUCGGAUUGUAAAGCUCUUUCGGAUGUGACGAUGAUGACGGUAGCAUCUAAAGAAGCCCCGGCUAACUUCGUGCCAGCAGCCGCGGUAAUACGAAGGGGGCAAGCGUUGUUCGGAAUUACUGGGCGUAAAGGGAGUGUAGGCGGUUUAGUAAGAUAGUGGUGAAAUCCCAGAGCUUAACUUUGGAAUUGCCAUUAUAACUAUUAGACUAGAAUUACAGAGAGGAUAGUGGAAUACCCAGUGUAGAGGUGAAAUUCGUAGAUAUUGGGUAGAACACCAGUAGCGAAGGCGACUAUCUGGCUGUACAUUGACGCUGAGGCUCGAAAGCAUGGGGAUCAAACAGGAUUAGAUACCCUGGUAGUCCAUGCUGUAAACGAUGAGUGCUUGUUGUCGGUAUUAAAUCGGUGACGUAGUUAACGCGUUAAGCACUCCGCCUGGGGAGUACGGUCGCAAGAUUAAAACUCAAAGGAAUUGACGGGGACCCGCACAAGCGGUGGAGCAUGU